AGCUGAUCCAGCGAUGCCGCGUGUGUGAAGAAGGCCUGCGGNUUGUAAAGCACUUNCAGUANGGAANNAAAGCCGAGUGCUAAUAUNNCUCGGUCUUGACGUUACUUACAGAAGAAGCACCGGCUAACUCCGUGCCAGCAGCCGCGGUAAUACGGAGGGUGCGAGCGUUAAUCGGAAUUACUGGGCGUAAAGGGCGCGUAGGCGGUUUGGUAAGUCGGGUGUGAAAGCCCCGGGCUCAACCUGGGAAUUGCAUUCGAUACUGCCUGGCUAGAGUAUGGUAGAGGGAAGCGGAAUUCCGGGUGUAGCGGUGAAAUGCGUAGAUAUCCGGAGGAACACCAGUGGCGAAGGCGGCUUCCUGGACCAAUACUGACGCUGAGGCGCGAAAGCGUGGGGAUCAAACAGGAUUAGAUACCCUGGUAGUCCACGCCCUAAACGAUGAGAACUAGCCGUUGGAGGAGCUUUGUCCUUUAGUGGCGCAGCUAACGCGAUAAGUUCUCCGCCUGGGGAGUACGGCCGCAAGGUU
rnacentral:rRNA from 1 species